GAUGAACGCUGCGGCGUGCUUAACACAUGCAAGUCGAACGGUGAAGCAGGAGCUUGCUCUUGUGGAUCAGUGGCGAACGGGUGAGUAACACGUGAGCAACCUGCCCCUGACUCUGGGAUAAGCGCUGGAAACGGCGUCUAAUACUGGAUAUGUGAUGUGACCGCAUGGUCUGCAUCUGGAAAGAAUUUCGGUUGGGGAUGGGCUCGCGGCCUAUCAGCUUGUUGGUGAGGUAAUGGCUCACCAAGGCGUCGACGGGUAGCCGGCCUGAGAGGGUGACCGGCCACACUGGGACUGAGACACGGCCCAGACUCCUACGGGAGGCAGCAGUGGGGAAUAUUGCACAAUGGGCGGAAGCCUGAUGCAGCAACGCCGCGUGAGGGAUGACGGCCUUCGGGUUGUAAACCUCUUUUAGCAAGGAAGAAGCGAAAGUGACGGUACCUGCAGAAAAAGCACCGGCUAACUACGUGCCAGCAGCCGCGGUAA
rnacentral:rRNA from 1 species